rnacentral:lncRNA from 1 species
UAAGGCCGUGUUCACACCAAACGCCAUGUACAGUAAACUUGUUUACAAUUAGUUUAACGUACUGGCCAUUGGUUUCACAUUAAAUUUGUUCACAUCUAUACACCUUGUUUAAUUACCUGUACAUAAUAUUUGUUCACACUUGUAAACUCUAGUCAUUUAAAUGUUCAUUACGUAGAACCGAAUGCAAAGUUUUCGGACAACUUUUCUAGCAGUAAGGGAACGACCAUUUGACUUCAAAUCGGGGGAGGGAGGGGUGUAUCGAUGGAAAUAUUCCGAACCCAAAUUGGAUAAAAAUAAAAGGUCCUGCAGAUGAUACAAAAAUAUUCUAAAUCAAGGGUUUCCCAUACAUUAUAGUGUUAAAUGUUGAAAAAAAAAAUUGAUUACCAGCAUCGAAAAAAAACCGGAAUAAAACGUUUGCGCGGAAAAAUUUCUGGCUCAGAUAAAUUAUCAAAAUACCCCCCCCCCUUUUUUUUUCCUUUUUUUAAGUUAAGUGGUUGCUUCUUUAUGAAAGCCAUUUUGCUGAUUUGCAGUAGUUUAAAAAUAAUAAAGAUGUCUUGUUUAAGCAUUAGAAAACGUAGACUGCAGCAGCGUGCUUACAGGCGAAGAAUAUAUAUUUUUAUUCUCAUAAAGCCAAUGCAUUACGUCGGUAUAGAGAUUACGGUACAGAGAUUGAAGGAGAAGAAGGAAUGAUAUAUUAGGGAUCACUAUAUUCCUAUUCGUUCUGUUUGUUUCAAAUGGUAUUUCUUCUCCAAGGAGUAUUUGGCAAAGGAGGGAGUAAUGUUGGGUUUUUUUAAGGGUAAUUUAACGGAUCCGAGAUACAUGUACUAGACAAACAAUACAUUUACCUCACACUUUUUAAGUAAUGCAUUUAUGAGUGAACCGUUGUUUGAGUAAAGACCAGUGGCAUACAUUUCUGUGCAAGUCAAGUCGAUUCGGAAAGACCUUAAUUCUCAAAUGAAUUAUGUGUUCGGCAAUGAUGCUGCUUUGAGUCUUGAUAAGGGCUUAAUAAAGCUACGUAAAGUUUAAAAAAAAAAACCAAAUAAAUAUAUCAAGUUUAGACAAAUAUUUCCGUAAAGAACUUUAUAAAUAAUUGCUAUAAAUAUCAAUUUUAUUCAAAAAUUGUUUCUUCCUUAAAUAUACA